rnacentral:rRNA from 1 species
AAAUUGAAGAGUUUGAUCAUGGCUCAGAUUGAACGCUGGCGGCAGGCCUAACACAUGCAAGUCGAACGGUAACAGGAAACAGCUUGCUGUUUCGCUGACGAGUGGCGGACGGGUGAGUAAUGUCUGGGAAACUGCCUGAUGGAGGGGGGUAACUACUGGAAACGGUAGCUAAUACCGCAUAACGUCGCAAGACCAAAGAGGGGGACCUUCGGGCCUCUUGCCAUCGGAUGUGCCCAGAUGGGAUUAGCUAGUAGGUGGGGUAACGGCUCACC